UCACUUUUCACCUCCUGGUUUCUCUCCUUUACUCCUCCCGCUCAAAAUUCCUCGCGCUCGCGUCUUCCUCUUCCUUCCUCCCCGACUUCCUCUUCCUUCCUCCCCGACUUCGCAUCCUUUGGUCGUGAACCCGCCGCGCCUACGCCGGUUGCCUCCGCCGUCCCCUUCUAGAAAACCCAUUUGCUCUCUCUCUCUUUCCUCCGCGAAGCGCGGCUCUUUUUGUGGACCGCGCCUCCGCCUCCGCCGGUUUCCUCCAUCGUCGCCUCCCGGAGCCCAUCGGUGGCUUAGAUCCUGACCACGCGGCCGCCUCCGCCUACGCCGUCGCCGUCUCCUCCGAAGCCCUCCAUUGGCGAUUCGUCCUCUGCCACUUUCUCUCUAUCCCAAGAAAUGGCUCCGCUCUGCUCUCUGUGACGAACCGCGCCUCCGCGGUCGCCUCCCGCAGCCCCUUUGGAGAUCUCGGGCUUCGACUCGCCCUCUGCGUUACCUCCCGAAGCCCCAUUCUCAGGAUAGGGUUUUGUAUGACUUGAGCUUCCCGUCGUUUUUGCCCUAAAGUGAAGAUUGGUGGCUCAGAUCUCGACCACGCGACCGCCUCCGCCUACGCCGUCGCCUCCGAAGCCCCCCAUUUGGCGAUUCGUCCUCUGCCCCUCUCUCUUUGUCCCGAGAAACGGCUUUGCUCGGCUCUCUGUGACGAACCGUGCCCCCGCCGUCGCCUCCCGAAGCCCCUUUGGCGAGCCCUCGGCGGAGGAGCUGGCGCUGGUGGUGGUGAUGGUGGGGUCGAGGUGUGCGCGUUCAACAAUCGUGGCGCGGGCCGGAGUUCCGUGCCCGCUGACAAGUCAGAGUACACGUGAGUCCGAUCGAUGCAUACGGUGAGCUUUCUAGUUCGUUUGAGUGUGUGCUGCUUCGUGGAGUUUCUUGAAUCGGGAGCCUAUUCACAGGAGAAUGGUUGCCAGUUGGUGCAAAGCUGAAAUGCAGCUUCAGCUUUCCUUGGACUAAUCGUGGACAUUGGAUGGCUUUCUUAGUCUUUUAGUUUGAUGAUAAUUUGGUGCUGUUCCGAAAACAUUUUAACGAAAAUUGACUUUGACUUUCGAUGUGAUUUCUGGAGCAGGACAAAGAUUAUGGCGAAAGAUGCGAUUGCUGUACUCGAUCACCUGGGAUGGAAAAGAGCCCAUGUCAUUGGCCAUUCAAUGAGGUGACUAACUGCCCUCUUUGGCUGUCAAAACAGGAGCUAUGAUCGCUUGCAAGUUGGCUGCCAUGGUGCCCAACAGAGUUUUAUCUUUAGGAUUGCUCAAUGUGACUGGUGGAGGUUAUGAAUGUUUCCCAAAGAUUGACCGGCGAACCAUCUCAAUUGCAAUCCGCGUUUUUAGGGCUAAAACUCUGGAACAAAGGGCUGCUGUUGAUUUGGAUACCCACUACUCAAAAGUAGGCAGUACUUAUGUACUUAAACCAUCAUUGUAAAAUCCACUGCAUCCUCCUUUCAUCUCUGUCAAAGGAGAAACGCUUAAUCUUUCUCCAUCCCAAAAGAAAUAAGGAUUUCAGGAGAACAAUUAGUUGUUCUGUGAUAGUAUGAAUAAAUCACUCCCAAGUAAAUUCAUUUGUGUUCUUAUGA